AAAACUCAAAGCUCAAAUUACACAUAAACAAAAUAAUCAGAAGAGAAUUAGAAAAUACAUUACAGAUAAUUUUAUUUAUAAAAGCCAAUAUAAUAUUCCACCUGCAAGGAUAGUAGAAACGGAAGAAAAAUGGUUGAAGCGCCGGUCAUGGCUUGCAACGGAAGUAUACCGACGGGCGGCACUUGAUAACAUUUUUUUGCGGGAGGCAGUAGCGUUUGGCUCUG
rnacentral:misc_RNA from 1 species